GGGGGAAUAGCUCAGUGGUAGAGCGCUGGAUUCCAGUCCCAGCGGUCGGUCGAUCCCCUCUUCCCUCA
rnacentral:tRNA from 1 species